AGCGAACGCUGGCGGCAGGCCUAACACAUGCAAGUCGAACGGAUCCUUCGGGAUUAGUGGCGGACGGGUGAGUAACACGUGGGAACGUGCCCUUUGGUUCGGAACAACUCAGGGAAACUUGAGCUAAUACCGGAUGUGCCCUUCGGGGGAAAGAUUUAUCGCCAUUGGAGCGGCCCGCGUCUGAUUAGCUAGUUUGUGAGGUAAAGGCUCACCAAGGCGACGAUCAGUAGCUGGUCUGAGAGGAUGAUCAGCCACUUUGGGACUGAGACACGGACCAAACUCCUACGGGAGGCAGCAGUGGGGAAUCUUGCGCAAUGGGCGAAAGCCUGACGCAGCCAUGCCGCGUGAAUGAUGAAGGUCUUAGGAUUGUAAAAUUCUUUCACCGGGGACGAUAAUGACGGUACCCGGAGAAGAAGCCCCGGCUAACUUCGUGCCAGCAGCCGCGGUAACAC
rnacentral:rRNA from 1 species